GCUUGGUUGGCUCAGUCAGUACAGCAUAUGACUCUUGAUCUCGAGGUCAUGAGUUCAAGCCCCAUAUUGGGCA
rnacentral:tRNA from 1 species